GAUGAAGAACGUAGCGAAAUGCGAUAAGUAGUGUGAAUUGCAGAAUUCAGUGAAUCAUCGGAUCUUUGAACGCACAUUGCGCCCCUUGGUAUUCCAUGGGGCAUGCCUGUUCGAGCGUCAUUUGUACCUUCAAGCUCUGCUUGGUGUUGGGUGUUUGUCUCGCCUCUGCGUGUAGACUCGCCUCAAAACAAUUGGCAGCCGGCGUAUUGAUUUCGGAGCGCAGUACAUCUCGCGCUUUGCACUCAUAACGACGACGUCCAAAAGUACAUUUUUACACUCUUGACCUCGGAUCAGGUAGGGAUACCCGCUGAACUUAAGCAUAUCAAUAAGCGGAGGA
rnacentral:misc_RNA from 1 species